rnacentral:rRNA from 1 species
UACGUAGGGGGCAAGCGUUGUCCGGAAUCAUUGGGCGUAAAGCGCGUGUAGGCGGUUCUGUAAGUCUGCUGUGAAAGUCCAGGGCUCAACCCUGGGAUGCCGGUGGAUACUGCAGGGCUAGAGUACGGAAGAGGCGAGUGGAAUUCCUGGUGUAGCGGUGAAAUGCGCAGAUAUCAGGAGGAACACCUAUUGCGAAGGCAGCUCGCUGGGACGUAACUGACGCUGAGACGCGAAAGCGUGGGGAGCAAACAGG